rnacentral:rRNA from 1 species
ACAGAUGGUUUAUCAUAUUACCAUCUGCCAGAGGAUUACAAGUGAAAAACUUAAAACUCCAAGGACUUGACGGUGCCCCACACCAGUCUAGAGGAGCCUGUCCUAUAAUCGAUACCCCACGCUCCACCUCACCCCCCCUUGCCAAACCCCGCCUAUAUACCGCCGUCGUCAGCCCACCUACUGAUAGCAACAAAAGUCAGCAUAAUAGCACCCCGCUAGCACGUCAGGUCAAGGUGUAGCUAAUGGGAGGGACUAAGAUGGGCUACAUUUGCUAACCUCUAGCAAACCCCACUGAAAGCCCCAUGAAACAAAGGGCCAGAAGGCGGAUUUAGCAGUAAACACCGGCAAGACCUGCCAAUUUGAACACCGCUCUGGGGCGCGUACACACCG